CUCACUGCUGAAAGUCCUGCCUAACUUUGCCUAUGGCCGGGCCAGUCGGGCCAUCGCCCUCCUGCUCAGCUCCUGGGAGAUCUGGGUCUACACAGCCAGGACUGACCCAGUGUUCAGUGUGGCUAGGUUGGAAAUCAGGGAGAUGCAGCAGCUCAUUGCUUACAUCAUGCCAAAGGACAGGGCAUGUGUAAAGAGGUGAGGGAUUGACGAGGGGCUCCGGCUGAAGCAUGGUCAGGUUUUCAGUGGAAAGUGUAGUAAAUGCAUGCAUGUUGUUUAUAUGUUUAUACACAAAAAGGGAAAAGGCAUUUGCAUUGGCACCGGAGGUGCACCUUGUGACUACGGCAUCGAGUUUGGUGUUAUUGUCCAGUGGUCAAGGGGUCUGUGCACCUUCAUUAGACGUCUCCUGUGAGAAGAGACAAAUCUGGGAGUGUUGUAGCCUGGGAUUUCUCAUCUCUCCUGUCUGCUACUGGACUGAUGAGGGAAUGGUCUGUGCAGAUGCCAUCAACUUCAUACUGUGUGGCAUGAUUCAAAGUCCAGUGUGGAUGAGAUGAUACCAGCUCCCUCCCUAACCUACCAGUCCCUGCCCAGUCCCAUCUCCUCUCUGUCUGUGCUUCAGAACCCUGCUCCUUAAACAUGGACAGUCCACCACGGACCUCAUACAGACCCUGGCAGAAGGAGAGUGGGGAUAGGACUCCCAAAAAGACAACCUCUGCAUCUAGAAGGGAGUCCAACCACACCCCCAGCUCUGUACCUGACAGAAGACCCAGCACGGUGACUAAUAGAUUACCCAGCCCUGUGACUGACCCACCCCCAAGCCACACCCUUA